UUAAAUUGAAGAGUUUGAUCAUGGCUCAGAUUGAACGCUGGCGGCAGGCCUAACACAUGCAAGUCGAACGGUAACAGGAAACAGCUUGCUGUUUCGCUGACGAGUGGCGGACGGGUGAGUAAUGUCUGGGAAACUGUCUGAUGGAGGGGGAUAACUACUGGAAACGGUAGCUAAUACCGCAUAA
rnacentral:rRNA from 1 species